rnacentral:rRNA from 1 species
UAUAUUAAUGAAUAUCGAAAGUUUAGAUCUUAAAGUUAAUUGUUUAGAAUGCUAUUUAACUUGGGUAAAGUUAAUAAAAUUGAUUUUAUGAGGUGAUAAAUAAUUCGUUAAACUUUAUAACUAUUUGGUUGUCAGGGAUUUUAUAUUACAUAAUAGGUUAAAAGAUUUAUUAUGGGGUUAUAUUAUGAAAUGUUGUUAUUUAUAAGAUUAGGUUAAAAGUACCUAUUUUUUAUAAGUUUGUUAUAAAAUUAAUUAAUUGGAUUUAUAAUUAAUGUUAAUGACAACUUUAUGUAAAAAUUUAGAUUGUAUUUAUUAUUAAAUAAGUAAUUAUAUUAUAUUAAUUAUUUCUAAGUAUCUCUCCGUCUGUUUAUUAAAAACAUUUCUAACUUGAAUUGUAGUUAGUAGUGCCUGCCCAGUGUUGUUAAAUAAACGGCCGCAGUAUAUUGACUGUGCAAAGGUAGCAUAAUUAAUUGCCCUUUAAUUGGGGGCUUGUUUGAAUGGU